rnacentral:rRNA from 1 species
UAGCUUGCUAUCAGGCGUCGAGCGGCGGACGGGUGAGUAAUACUUAGGAAUCUACCUAGUAGUGGGGGAUAGCACGGGGAAACUCGUAUUAAUACCGCAUACGACCUACGGGAGAAAGGGGGCAGUUUACUGCUCUCGCUAUUAGAUGAGCCUAAGUCGGAUUAGCUAGAUGGUGGGGUAAAGGCCUACCAUGGCGACGAUCUGUAGCUGGUCUGAGAGGAUGAUCAGCCACACCGGGACUGAGACACGGCCCGGACUCCUACGGGAGGCAGCAGUGGGGAAUAUUGGACAAUGGGGGAAACCCUGAUCCAGCCAUGCCGCGUGUGUGAAGAAGGCCUUUUGGUUGUAAAGCACUUUAAGCAGUGAAGAAGACUCUUCGGUUAAUACCCGGAGACGAUGACAUUAGCUGCAGAAUAAGCACCGGCUAACUCUGUGCCAGCAGCCGCGGUAAUACAGAGGGUGCAAGCGUUAAUCGGAAUUACUGGGCGUAAAGGGAGCGUAGGUGGCUCUAUAAGUCAGAUGUGAAAUCCCCGGGCUUAACCUGGGAACUGCAUCUGAAACUGUAGAGCUAGAGUAUGUGAGAGGGAGGUAGAAUUUCAGGUGUAGCGGUGAAAUGCGUAGAGAUCUGAAGGAAUACCGAUGGCGAAGGCAGCCUCCUGGCAUAAUACUGACACUGAGGCUCGAAAGCGUGGGUAGCAAACAGGAUUAGAUACCCUGGUAGUCCACGCCGUAAACGAUGUCUACUAGUCGUUGGGUCCCUUGAGGACUUAGUGACGCAGCUAACGCAAUAAGUAGACCGCCUGGGGAGUACGGCCGCAAGGUUAAAACUCAAAUGAAUUGACGGGGGCCCGCACAAGCGGUGGAGCAUGUGGUUUAAUUCGAUGCAACGCGAAGAACCUUACCUGGUCUUGACAUAUCUAGAAUCCUGCAGAGAUGCGGGAGUGCCUUCGGGAAUUAGAAUACAGGUGCUG